CGCAGCCCAAGUGGUGGUCAUUAUUAUUGAGCCUAAAGCGUCCGUAGCCGGACUCGUAAAUCCUUGGGUAAAUCGGGCAGCUUAACUGUCCGAAUUCCGAGGAGACUGCGAGUCUUGGGACCGGGAGAGGUUAGAGGUACUCUAGGGGUAAGGGCUAAAUCUUGUAAAUCCUUGGGGGACCACCAGUGGCGAAGGCGUCUAACUAGAACGGAUCCGACGGUAAGGGCGAAACCCUGGGGCGCAAACGG
rnacentral:rRNA from 1 species